rfam:Macrostomum lignano uti_cns_0008123, whole genome shotgun sequence.
GUCCUUGUGGCGCAAUGGAUAGCGCGUCGGACUUCUAAUCCGGAGGUUGUGGGUUCGAGUCCCACCAAGGAUG